rnacentral:rRNA from 1 species
AGCGAACGCUGGCGGCAGGCCUAACACAUGCAAGUCGAACGAAGUCUUCGGACUUAGUGGCGGACGGGUGAGUAACACGUGGGAACGUACCUUUUGGUUCGGAACAACUCAGGGAAACUUGAGCUAAUACCGGAUGAGCCCUUAGGGGGAAAGAUUUAUCGCCGAAAGAGCGGCCCGCGUUAGAUUAGCUAGUUGGUGAGGUAAAGGCUCACCAAGGCUACGAUCUAUAGCUGGUCUGAGAGGAUGAUCAGCCACACUGGGACUGAGACACGGCCCAGACUCCUACGGGAGGCAGCAGUGGGGAAUCUUGCGCAAUGGGCGAAAGCCUGACGCAGCCAUGCCGCGUGAAUGAUGAAGGCCUUAGGAUUGUAAAAUUCUUUUACCAGGGACGAUAAUGACGGUACCUGGAGAAAAAGCCCCGGCUAACUUCGUGCCAGCAGCCGCCGUAACAC